rnacentral:tRNA from 2 species
GAGAUCUAAGUUAAGAAAAACGUUGGACUGUCAGACCGAAGACAUGAGUUAAAAUCUCAUAGAUCUCG